AAAAAAGUUACCAAGGGGACUGAGAACUCCAUGGAAAUAAUGUGAAAGUUAAGUCCUGCUAAGUUUUCUCACAGUAGAGGCAGAUGGAAAAGGUGGCUGGUGAAUGAGACCCAUGUCUGAUUUAGGUCGAGCAUGCCCGAUGGAGGCUCCACCUUCCACGACCAGCCUCUGACCAAGGCCUAGGAACAGGAAACCUCCUGUCUGAGGUUGGGAGAGGAAGGGAGAUGAGAACAGUUUGAAAUAAAUCCUGUGGAGACUUUCUACAAGCAGCUAUCAUAUGAGGUAAAAACUCCACCGUCAGAUCAUGCUAACGCUGCCAUUUUGUGAACAUGCGGCCUGUGAAGAGGCGUGAAGCUUGACUACAAUUGUGCAGGAAAUAUCCCAAACUAUGGAAAUCUUUCUACUGAAGACUACAUGACCAGAUCAUUCCUCUCUCUACCAUGAAGCAGUCAGGGAGCCAAGACUCUCCUUGGACUGCAGGUCACCACCUCACCAUUGAUGAUUGUGGACUAGGCUACAGAGGGAUGUCCAGAGCUCAUAGUCAUGGCCCCAUCAUUGAUGAUUGUGGACUAGGCUACAGAAGGAUAGAGUUCAUAGUCAUGGCCCCAUCAUUGAUGAUUGUGGACUAGACUAUGGUAUGACCUCUUCUAUGGUUCCUACUGUCUAGUUCCCCCACGCUUCUGUGUUUCUUGGCUGUUUUCCAAGUCUGGUCCUCCAACUCUCCUGUAAUUCCAAUACAUUCCCUUUAUGUUUAAGAUAACCAUAGUCGAAUUCUGUCACUUGCCACUAAGACCACGACUAGCCAUAGAAGAGACUAGCAUCCCCUUUGCAUUUUCUUCUUUGCUAAAGCUACUGCCAACAUUCUUAUGAUGAGCUGAAUGAACACAAUUCAAAUCAUAGUUCCUAAUUGUGCAAUGUAAAUGAGACAGCAAGAAAGGUAAGGUAGGGAAUUGAAAAGUAGUUAUCCUUCUUUUAAAAUUUUUAAUUUAAAUGUGACUUCAUUCUCUGUGAAUCAGGCAUUAUGUCCCUUGCUAAAAAUGUACUGCCACACUAGUAAAUUAAAAUCUGUUCAAUAAGAUAUAUUUAUGUACACGACCGGCACCUUACAAUACUGUGAGCAUAGUUGAAAAGUGCUAUGUGCUUAGUAAAUUUAGAACUGCAUUUCCUGAAUGUCAAGGUGUUUAUUACCUGGAAAAAAGAAAGGAAAACAACUCUACAUUUCAAACACGUUCUUCAGCUUCCUUGAUGAGACAUUUGAAGGACCAUUAGUUGUCUAAAUCGAAAUUGUAUUUUAGAGAGGGGUAGAAUAUGAAAGAUUGUUCUUUAGUUUACGAUCAUAAACUUUACCCUGCAAUAAAGCUGUAAACCCAAGCAGGC
rnacentral:lncRNA from 1 species